rnacentral:rRNA from 1 species
AAAUUGAAGAGUUUGAUCAUGGCUCAGAUUGAACGCUGGCGGCAGGCCUAACACAUGCAAGUCGAACGGUAACAGGAAGCAGCUUGCUGCUUCGCUGACGAGUGGCGGACGGGUGAGUAAUGUCUGGGAAACUGCCUGAUGGAGGGGGAUAACUACUGGAAACGGUAGCUAAUACCGCAUAACGGUAGCUAAUACCGCAU